GUAGUAUUCCUCCGUCCCAAAAUUCUUGUCUUACAUUUGUUUAGAUACAGAUGUAUCUAACACUAAAAUGUAACUAGAUACAUCCGUAUUUAGAUAAAUUUAAGACAAGAAUUUUGGGACGGAGGGAGUACAAA
rnacentral:pre_miRNA from 1 species